UGCACGAASGUGCGAUAAGGGGACUCCGAGUGCGAGGGCAUACAGUCCUCGCUAUUGUGUACCGUAGGGUGGUACACGACCAAGAGCUGGGCAAGACCGGUGCCAGCCGCCGCGGUAAUACCGGCAGCUCGAGUGAUGGCCGAUUUUAUUGGGCCUAAAGCGUCCGUAGCUGGCCCUGCAAGUCCGUCGGGAAAUCCACUCGCCUAACGAGUGGGCGUCCGGCGGAAACUACAGGGCUUGGGACCGGAAGACUUGAGGGGUACGUCUGGGGUAGGAGUGAAAUCCUGUAAUCCUGGACGGACCGCCGAUGGCGAAAGCACCUCAAGACGACGGAUCCGACAGUGAGGGACGAAAGCUAGGGUCUCGAACCGGAUUAGAUACCCGGGUAGUCCUAGCCGUAAACGAUGUUCGCUAGAUGUGGCACAGGCUACGUGCCUGUGCUGUGUCGUAGGGAAGCCGAGAAGCGAACCGCCUGGGAAGUACGUCCGCAAGGAUGAAACUUAAAGGAAUUGGCGGGGGAGCACA
rnacentral:rRNA from 1 species